GAGUCUCGCUCUGUCACCCAGGCUGGAGUGCAGUGGCGCUAUCUCGGCUCACUGCAAGCUCCACCUCCUGAGUUCACGCCAUUCUCCUGCCUCAGCCUCCCGAGUAGCUAGGACUGCUGAUCUCUGUAAGUCUUUAGAUUCCUGCAAAGUUCUGUGCAAUGAAUAAGAGUUCCUGUUUCUCCACAUCCUUGCCAGCAUUUGAUGUUGUCAGUGUUCUGGAUUUCAGCCACUCUAACAGAAGCCACUGGCAGAAACAAGGAGAGAAGAAAGGCGUAACGAAUCAGUGAUGGAACAGGAAGGAAUCAACUGAGGGAAGCAAAGGGCUGCUGAGUCACAAGCAUGACAGGCAACUAGAAUCAGCCCGGGCUCCCCAGAGCUGCUGCUCAUCCUGAACACUGCGGGCUUGCUCAGAAUUUCCUGGCUGUCCUUUCAGACUUCGUGUGCAUCGUGACAAUACACCACUCUCACCUAACGGAAUCUAAGGAUGUCGCUACCCUGAAAUAGCCAAAUAUUCCAGUUGAAUCUAUUUGUUAAAGCUUAGUCAACCAGAUUUGUUUCUAAGGAGACACUGACAAUAAAAAUAAAAAUGAAAAACAGAAAAACAUUAUUUUCCCUGCAUAAAAG
rnacentral:lncRNA from 10 species